rnacentral:rRNA from 1 species
AUUGAACGCUGGCGGCAGGCCUAACACAUGCAAGUCGAGCGGAUGAAGGGAGCUUGCUCCUGGAUUCAGCGGCGGACGGGUGAGUAAUGCCUAGGAAUCUGCCUGGUAGUGGGGGAUAACGUCCGGAAACGGGCGCUAAUACCGCAUACGUCCUGAGGGAGAAAGUGGGGGAUCUUCGGACCUCACGCUAUCAGAUGAGCCUAGGCCGGAUUAGCUAGUUGGUGGGGUAAAGGCCUACCAAGGCGACGAUCCGUAACUGGUCUGAGAGGAUGAUCAGUCACACUGGAACUGAGACACGGUCCAGACUCCUACGGGAGGCAGCAGUGGGGAAUAUUGGACCAUGGGCGAAAGCCUGAUCCAGCCAUGCCGCGUGUGUGAAGAAGGUCUUCGGAUUGUAAAGCACUUUAAGUUGGGAGGAAGGGCAGUAAGUUAAUACCUUGCUGUUUUGACGUUACCAACAGAAUAAGCACCGGCUAACUUCGUG